rnacentral:lncRNA from 1 species
UCUUCAGCGACCAGCGGCCAGCCUCUAUGUGAAAUAAGCUCCGAAGACGAUGCCGAAGCGUCGGAAGGUGGUGCGGCGGGUGCCCAGAUGAAUCGCCGCAAUGCGAGUCCAUCGACCCGAUUCCAUAUGCGGCUAAAUCCAUCAACCACUAACAACACCGCAGACAUAUCGACCCCUGGGUGUCAUGUAUCUCUAUUGUAUACCUGGAAGAACCAUUUAAAGAGGGGUUUAAGCUCGUGCCUGUAGCACCAACCCCGGGAAAGGGUUAAAAGCAAACAGGUGUAAGUCGCCGGAUCCCCUCCACUGACCGAGUUGUCUUCAGCGCCUAGAGUUGAUGUUGCGAGUCGAAAUUCUGCUUGACGGUACCACGUACACGAAGUAGCCAGGCAACGUGGCGCAAGCCCAGGCACCACUCACGUACGGAGAGUAACAGAAACGGACCAUGUGGGCGAAACCAGCGCAGAGAAAUUCGACCAUCGCCAUGAACAGCAGUGGUACAGGUUGCACAGUACCAUUAACUCACUGACGUAAGCUAGAUUGCCGACAAAGACAAAACCUACACAUUUUGUUCGUAUCAAUGUCUAGGUCACUAUGUAGUAUCCUAUACACUGUAUAUACAGGGUAUAUUCAACACAAAACACUUUUUAUUUGAUAAUUGUAUGAAACUGAGUUGAUAUUAAAAAUUAAAAGAUCUUUGGGAUAUCUCCAAA